rnacentral:rRNA from 3 species
GCUGGAGGUAUCAGAAGUGCGAAUGCUGACAUAAGUAACGAUAAAGCGGGUGAAAAGCCCGCUCGCCGGAAGACCAAGGGUUCCUGUCCAACGUUAAUCGGGGCAGGGUGAGUCGACCCCUAAGGCGAGGCCGAAAGGCGUAGUCGAUGGGAAACGGGUUAAUAUUCCCGUACUUGGUGUUACUGCGAAGGGGGGACGGAGAAGGCUAUGUUGGCCGGGCGACGGUUGUCCCGGUUUAAGCGUGUAGGUGUGUGUUCCAGGUAAAUCCGGUUCACUUUAACACUGAGGCGUGACGACGAGGCACUACGGUGCUGAAGCAACAAAUGCCCUGCUUCCAGGAAAAGCCUCUAAGCAUCAGGUAACAUCAAAUCGUACCCCAAACCGACACAGGUGGUCAGGUAGAGAAUACCAAGGCGCUUGAGAGAACUCGGGUGAAGGAACUAGGCAAAAUGGUGCCGUAACUUCGGGAGAAGGCACGCUGACACGUAGGUGAAGUGAUUUACUCAUGGAGCUGAAGUCAGUCGAAGAUACCAGCUGGCUGCAACUGUUUAUUAAAAACACAGCACUGUGCAAACACGAAAGUGGACGUAUACGGUGUGACGCCUGCCCGGUGCCGGAAGGUUAAUUGAUGGGGUCAGCGCAAGCGAAGCUCCUGAUCGAAGCCCCGGUAAACGGCGGCCGUAACUAUAACGGUCCUAAGGUAGCGAAAUUCCUUGUCGGGUAAGUUCCGACCUGCACGAAUGGCGUAAUGAUGGCCAGGCUGUCUCCACCCGAGACUCAGUGAAAUUGAACUCGCUGUGAAGAUGCAGUGUACCCGCGGCAAGACGGAAAGACCCCGUGAACCUUUACUAUAGCUUGACACUGAACAUUGAGCCUUGAUGUGUAG